rnacentral:rRNA from 1 species
AGUGAACGCUGGCGGUAGGCCUAACACAUGCAAGUCGAACGGCAGCACAGUAAGAGCUUGCUCUUACGGGUGGCGAGUGGCGGACGGGUGAGGAAUACAUCGGAAUCUACUUUUUCGUGGGGGAUAACGUAGGGAAACUUACGCUAAUACCGCAUACGACCUACGGGUGAAAGCAGGGGAUCUUCGGACCUUUCGCGAUUGAAUGAGCCGAUGUCGGAUUAGCUAGUUGGCGGGGUAAAGGCCCACCAAGGCGACGAUCCGUAGCUGGUCUGAGAGGAUGGUCGGCCACACUGGAACUGGGACACGGUCCAGACUCCUACGGGAGGCAGCAGUAGGGAAUCUUCCGCAAUGGGCGGAAGGCUGACGCAGCAACGCCGGGUGAGGGAAGAAGGGCUUCGGAUUGUAAAACUCUGUUAUUAGGGAAGAAAAAAUGUGUAAGUAACUACGCACGUCUUGACGGUACCUAAAAAAAAAGCCACGGCUAACUACGUG